AGGAAAAACAAAUCUCUUGUGAAACUGUUAAGCUUAACUUAACAACGUGCAGGAGACACUAUUUUUCUAGAGACCGGGAGGAGUCAGAGGUAUUCUUGGGGGAGCGGUAAAAUGCUAUAAUCCCAAGAGGACCACCGAUGGCGAAGGCAUCUGACUAGAACGGAUCUGACUGUGAGGGACGAAGGCCAGGGGAGCGAACCGGAUUAGAUACCCGCGUAGUCCUGGCAGUAAACGCUGCGAGCUAGGUGUUGCAUAAUCUACGGAUUGUGCAGUGUCGAAACGAAGGUGUUAAGCUCGCCGCCUGGGAA
rnacentral:rRNA from 1 species